GGAUGUGAGGGCGAUCAGGCUGGGACAUCUGUCACUCCAUUGAUUGCCAGGGUUGAUUCAGCUGAUCUGGCUGGCUAGGGGGGUAUCCCCUUCCUCCCUCACUGCUCCAUGUACAUCCCUCCCAAAGUUGUGCACUUGAUUGAAGAGAAGGACCUUCCCUGAAUAGAAGAGGACUGGUCUUUGGUCAAGGGCAUACAAGUAGCUGCACUCCCCUGCUAGAACCUCUAAAUAAGCUCUCAGAAUGUGUUUUAUUUUGUCAACAAAUCAAUCUAUGACAUUUUUAAGGCUUGUCAAUGUCACUCCAU
rnacentral:snRNA from 1 species